CAGUCGCCACGGGAAUACAGAGGGUGCGAGCGUUAAUCGGAAUUACUGGGCGUAAAGCGCGCGUAGGUGGUUUGUUAAGUUGGAUGUGAAAGCCCCGGGCUCAACCUGGGAACUGCAUCCAAAACUGGCAAGCUAGAGUACGGUAGAGGGUGGUGGAAUUUCCUGUGUAGCGGUGAAAUGCGUAGAUAUAGGAAGGAACACCAGUGGCGAAGGCGACCACCUGGACUGAUACUGACACUGAGGUGCGAAAGCGUGGGGAGCAAACAGGAUUAGAUACCCGAGUAGUCCCUGUCUCUUAUAC
rnacentral:rRNA from 1 species